AUUAGAUACCCUGGGUAGUCCACGCUGUAAACGAUGGAUACUAGGUGUGCGGGGACUGACCCCCUCCGUGCCGCAGCUAACGCAAUAAGUAUCCCACCUGGGGAGUACGAUCGCAAGGUUGAAACUCAAAGGAAUUGACGGGGGCCCGCACAAGCGGUGGAGUAUGUGGUUUAAUUCGACGCAACGCGAAGAACCUUACCAGGGCUUGACAUCCAACUAACGAAGCAGAGAUGCAUUAGGUGCCCUUCGGGGAAAGUUGAGACAGGUGGUGCAUGGUUGUCGUCAGCUCGUGUCGUGAGAUGUUGGGUUAAGUCCCGCAACGAGCGCAACCCUUAUUGUUAGUUGCUACGCAAGAGCACUCUAGCGAGACUGCCGUUGACAAAACGGAGGAAGGUGGGGACGACGUCAAAUCAUCAUGCCCCUUAUGUCCUGGGCCACACACGUACUACAAUGGCGGUCAACAGAGGGAGGCAAAGCCGCGAGGCAGAGCAAAUCCCUAAAAGCCGUCCCAGUUCGGAUUGCAGGCUGAAACCCGCCUGUAUGAAGUUGGAAUCCCUAGUAAUCGCGGAUCAGCAUGCCGCGGUGAAUACGUUCCCGGGCCUUGUACACACCGCCCGUCACACCAUGAGAGUCGGGGACACCCGAAGUCCGUAGUCUAACCGCAAGGGGGACGCGGCCGAAGGUGGGUUCGAUAAUUGGGGUGAAGUCGUAACAAGGUACC
rnacentral:rRNA from 1 species